UCCACAACUAAAAAUCUGAGAGAGAAGCCACCAAUCCACGAGAAGAAAUAGUUUGGAGAGAAGAAACCGAGAGUUGAGGAGAUAAAAAAAAAAGAGAGUGAGGCAGCGACGGUUGAGAAAGAAAAUUGACGAUGUUAGGAGCGUGACAGGCUCCCGUUCGGCGAGGCUGCUGAACGACGUGCUGGAGGAAGGCGGCGCCGGCUCUGUGCUGGCAGCAGCGACCACGGCGGCACGAUCUGCAACGAGUUUCGGAAUCAAGAGCAGCAGCAGCAACGGCAGACAGCAGCUGCGAGGGCGACGGCGUGAAGGGAAAGAAAGAGAGGAGAUGACGGAGACGGAGGGGUGAACGUCGAACUCGUAAACUCGACGGGUGGAAACGGGCGGCGUGGAGAUGGCAGCGGCGAGCAGCAAGAGUGGCGGUGCGAAGCUGAUCGAGACAGCGAUGGCACUUCUCGCGUCUGCUCGAUGAAUUCCGAACAGCAGCAGCAGCGACUGAGCGGCGGCUGUGGCCGAGACGGGCUGAAUUUUGAUAGACAACCACGACUUGUCUCAAGGCGACGGUGAAGGGGCUAGAACGGCAGUCCGACGAAACUCGCCGCUGUGAUUACCACUGCAACGGUGCUGCAAAUUCAGUGAAGAAGAGAGAAAGGCGACAGAGGAUGUGUUUCAAAUGGAGAAGAGAAGUCUUUUUCUUAGUUUCUGUUUGGGCCAAGGAAAUAAUGGAGAUGAUUGUGUUAAACUUGGGCCAGCAACUAGUAGCGUAAGGGAUUGGAUUAAGGUGUCUGGCUGCUUUAGAUCAAAGUGCGUGGAUUUCAGAAUUUCUCAAGUACAGAUCGAAGGGUUGAGCUGUGACGAGCGCGGUGGGUGCAGAGCUGGUGAAGAUUUGUUUUUGCUUUUAAAUAUUCCGAAUAUAUUAUGUCUUCAUACAUAAUAUGAUUCUUCUCUCGAAUGCUUCCGCUGAAUGUUGUUUUCUUUCGAGUUCAUUUAUUGUUGAGAUAUUGUAUUCCUUUGA